rnacentral:rRNA from 1 species
UACGUAGGGGGCGAACGUUGUCCGGAUUUAUUGGGCGUAAAGAGCUCGUAGGCGGCUCAGCAAGUCGGCCGUGAAAGUCCGGGGCUCAACCCCGGGAUGCCGGUCGAUACUGCUGUGGCUAGGGUCCGGUAGAGGAGAGUGGAAUUCCCGGUGUAGCGGUGAAAUGCGCAGAUAUCGGGAGGAACACCAGUAGCGAAGGCGGCUCUCUGGGCCGGUACCGACGCUGAGGAGCGAAAGCUAGGGGAGCGAA